UGAGGAAUAUUGGGCAAUGCCCGCAAGGGUGACCCAGCAACGCCGCGUGGAGGAUGAAUGUCGUAAGAUUGUAGACUCCUGUUAGAGGGGAAGAAUAGUACCGGUUGGACCGGUAUAUGACUGUACCCUCAGAGAAAGCCCCGGCUAACUACGUGCCAGCAGCCGCGGUAAUACGUAGGGGGCAAGCGUUGUCCGGAUUUACUGGGUGUAAAGGGCGCGCAGGCGGAAUGGAAAGUCAGUGGUGAAAUCCUACAGCUUAACUGUAGAACUGCCUUUGAUACUUUCAUUCUUGAGUUCGGGAGAGAGAGACGGAAUUCCAGGUGUAGUGGUGAAAUACGUAGAUAUCUGGAAGAACACCAGUUGCGAAGGCGGUCUCUUGGUCCGAUACUGACGCUGAGGCGCGAAAGCGUGGGGAGCAAACA
rnacentral:rRNA from 1 species